rnacentral:rRNA from 1 species
GAACGCUGGCGGCAUGCCUUACACAUGCAAGUCGAACGGUAGAAGUAGCAAUACUUUGAGAGUGGCGAACGGGUGAGUAAUACAUCGGAACAUGCCCAAUCGUGGGGGAUAACGUAGCGAAAGUUACGCUAAUACCGCAUAAGAUCUACGGAUGAAAGCGGGGGACUCGCAAGAGCCUCGCGCGAUUGGAGUGGCUGAUGUCAGAUUAGCUAGUUGGUAGGGUAAAAGCCUACCAAGGCAACGAUCUGUAGCUGGUCUGAGAGGACGACCAGCCACACUGGGACUGAGACACGGCCCAGACUCCUACGGGAGGCAGCAGUGGGGAAUUUUGGACAAUGGACGAAAGUCUGAUCCAGCAAUGCCGCGUGCAGGACGAAGGC